rnacentral:rRNA from 1 species
AGGAUAAACGCUGGCGGCGUGCCUAACACAUGCAAGUCGAACGUCUCUUUCUUCGGGAAGAGGAGUGGCGGACGGGUGAGGAACACGUGGGAACCUGCCCUACAGUGAGGAAUACCGGCGAGAAAUCGCCGACAAGACCGCAUAGCCCUCUCUGGUGAGAGCCAGAGAAGGAAAGCUUCGCAAGAGGCGCUGGAGGAGGGGCCUGCGUCCGAUUAGCUAGUUGGUGGGGUAAGAGCCUACCAAGGCGUCGAUCGGUAGCUGGUCUGAGAGGACGAUCAGCCACACUGGGAUUGAGAACGGCCCAGACUCCUACGGGGGGCAGCAGUGAGGAAUUUUCGGCAAUGGGGGAAACCCUGACCGAGCAACGCCGCGUGCAGGAAGACGGCCUUCGGGUUGUAAACUGCUUUCUCGGGGACGAGCAAGGACGGUACCCGAGGAAGAAGCCCGGCUAACUACGCGCCAGCAGCCGC